UACGUAGGGUGCAAGCGUUGUCCGGAAUUAUUGGGCGUAAAGAGCUCGUAGGCGGUUUGUCGCGUCUGCUGUGAAAUCUGGAGGCUCAACCUCCAGCCUGCAGUGGGUACGGGCAGACUAGAGUGCGGUAGGGGAGAUUGGAAUUCCUGGUGUAGCGGUGGAAUGCGCAGAUAUCAGGAGGAACACCGAUGGCGAAGGCAGAUCUCUGGGCCGUAACUGACGCUGAGGAGCGAAAGCGUGGGGAGCGAACAGG
rnacentral:rRNA from 1 species